UCAGCCGCCGCGGUAAAACCAGCACCUCGAGUGGUCAGGAGGUUUAUUGGGCCUAAAGCAUCCGUAGCCGGUUGUUUAAGUUUUCGGUUAAAUCUAUGCGCUUAACGUAUAGGCUGCCGAAAAUACUGGACAGCUAGGGAGUGGGAGAGGUAAACGGUACUCAAUAGGAAGGGGUAAAAUCCUUUGAACUGUUGAUGACCACCUGUGGCGAAGGCGGUGUACCAGAACACGUUCGACGGUGAGGGAUGAAAGCUGGGGGAGCAAACCGGAUUAGAUACCCGGGUAGUCCCAGCUGUAAACGAUGCAAACUCGGUGAUGCAUUGGCUUGUGGCCAAUGCAGUGCCGCAGGGAAGCCGUUAAGUUUGCCGCCUGGGAAGUACGUACGCAAGUAUGAAACUUAAAGGAAUUGGCGGGGGAGCACA
rnacentral:rRNA from 1 species